UUAGUUUUGGUAAAAGUUAGGUUUUUUCGAAAAAGUUAGGUUUUUUCGAAAAAGUUAGUUUUGGUAUAAGUUAGGUUUUUUCGAAAAAGUUAGUUUUGGUAUAAGUUAGUUUUUUUGAAAAAGUUAGUUUUGGUAUA